CGUAGGUGGCAAGCGUUAUCCGGAAUUAUUGGGCGUAAAGCGCGCGUAGGCGGUAAAAUAAGUCUGAUGUGAAAGCCCCGGCUCAACCGGGGAGGGUCAUUGGAAACUGUUUUACUUGAGUACAGAAGAGGAGAGUGGAAUUCCAUGUGUAGCGGUGAAAUGCGCAGAGAUAUGGAGGAACACCAGUGGCGAAGGCGGCUCUCUGGUCUGUAACUGACGCUGAGGUGCGAAAGCGUGGGAUCAAACAGGAUU
rnacentral:rRNA from 1 species